AUUGAACGCUGGCGGCAUGCCUUACACAUGCAAGUCGAACGGUAACGCGGGGCAACCUGGCGACGAGUGGCGAACGGGUGAGUAACGCAUCGGAACGUGCCCAGUAGUGGGGGAUAGCCCGGCGAAAGCCGGAUUAAUACCGCAUACGACCUACGGGUGAAAGGGGGGGAUCGCAAGACCUCUCGCUAUUGGAGCGGCCGAUGUCAGAUUAGGUAGUUGGUGGGGUAAAGGCCUACCAAGCCGACGAUAUGUAGCUGGUCUGAGAGGACGACCAGCCACACUGGGACUGAGACACGGCCCAGACUCCUACGGGAGGCAGCAGUGGGGAAUUUUGGACAAUGGGCGAAAGCCUGAUCCAGCCAUGCCGCGUGCGGGAAGAAGGCCUUCGGGUUGUAAACCGCUUUUGUCAUGGAAGAAAUCUUCUGGGUUAAUACCUCGGGAGGAUGACGGUACCUGAAGAAUAAGCACCGGCUAACUACGUGCCAGCCGCCGCCGUAA
rnacentral:rRNA from 1 species